rnacentral:rRNA from 1 species
AUUGAACGCUGGCGGCAUGCCUUACACAUGCAAGUCGAACGGUAACAGGUCUUCGGAUGCUGACGAGUGGCGAACGGGUGAGUAAUACAUCGGAACGUGCCUAGUAGUGGGGGAUAACUACUCGAAAGAGAGGCUAAUACCGCAUGAGAUCUACGGAUGAAAGCAGGGGAUCGCAAGACCUUGUGCCACUAGAGCGGCGGAUGGCAGAGUAGGUAGUUGGUGGGAUAAAAGCUUACCAAGCCGACGAUCUGUAGCUGGUCUGAGAGGACGAUCAGCCACACUGGGACUGAGACACGGCCCAGACUCCUACGGGAGGCAGCAGUGGGGAAUUUUGGACAAUGGGCGCAAGCCUGAUCCAGCAAUGCCGCGUGCAGGAUGAAGGCCUUCGGGUUGUAAACUGCUUUUGUACGGAACGAAAAGCCCUGGGUUAAUACCCUGGGGUCAUGACGGUACCGUAAGAAUAAGCACCGGCUAACUACGUGCCAGCCGCCGCCGUAAAAC